GUCCGUUGCAGCAAAGACACCCGACAGUGUAUAAAUGGACAUUUUGUCAUACUGUCGAGACAGUUACAUCGAUAUUACUGCUGCGAAAAUGGCACAUUUCUCGUCUCCUGCAAGGUUUAUCAGCAUAGAUGACCCCGAGGUGGACUCCAUCAGGAGCCAGUGCCAGGUGUUGAGUUAUUCAUGCAGAGAUCGCAGUGUGCCCAGGGUUGAAUUAAAUCAACAAUGUGUGGAGGUGAGCC